rnacentral:rRNA from 1 species
CAGCAGCCGCGGUAAUACGGAGGGUGCAAGCGUUAAUCGGAAUUACUGGGCGUAAAGCGCACGCAGGCGGUUUGUUAAGUCAGAUGUGAAAUCCCCGAGCUUAACUUGGGAACUGCAUUUGAAACUGGCAAGCUAGAGUCUUGUAGAGGGGGGUAGAAUUCCAGGUGUAGCGGUGAAAUGCGUAGAGAUCUGGAGGAAUACCGGUGGCGAAGGCGGCCCCCUGGACAAAGACUGACGCUCAGGUGCGAAAGCGUGGGGAGCAAACAGGAUUAGAUACCCGUGUAGUCCCUGUCUCUUAUAA